rnacentral:rRNA from 1 species
AGCAGCCGCGGUAAUUCCAGCUCCAAUAGCGUAUAUUAAAGUUGUUGCAGUUAAAAAGCUCGUAGUUGAAUUUCGGGAUUAGUACGCUGGUCAUGCCUUUGGUAUGUACUGGUGUUACUGAUUCCUACCUUCUGAAGAACCGUUAUGUCAUUCAUUUGGUGUGGCGGGGAAUCAGGACUGUUACUUUGAAAAAAUUAGAGUGUUUAAAGCAGGCUCGCGCUCGAAUACAUUAGCAUGGAAUAAUGAAAUAGGACGUUGAUCCUAUUUUGUUGGUUUCUAGGAUUGACGUAAUGAUUAAUAGGGAUAGUUGGGGGCAUUAGUAUUCAAUUGUCAGAGGUGGAAUUCUUGGAUUUAUUGAAGACUAACUACUGCGAAAGCAUUUGCCAAGGAUGUUUUCAUUAAUCAAGAACGAAAGUUAGGGGAUCGAAGACGAUCAGAUACCGUCGUAGUCUUAACCAUAAACUAUGCCGACUAGGGAUCGGAUGAUGUUAAUUUUUUAAUGACUCA